GCCUCUGUAGCUCAGUGGCAGAGCACUGGUCUUGUAAACCUGGGGUCCGUGAGUUCAAUCCUCACAGGAGGCA
rnacentral:tRNA from 1 species